UACGUAGGGGGCUAGCGUUAUCCGGAAUUACUGGGCGUAAAGGGUGCGUAGGUGGUUUCUUAAGUCAGAGGUGAAAGGCUACGGCUCAACCGUAGUAAGCCUUUGAAACUGGGGAACUUGAGUGCAGGAGAGGAGAGUGGAAUUCCUAGUGUAGCGGUGAAAUGCGUAGAUAUUAGGAGGAACACCAGUUGCGAAGGCGGCUCUCUGGACUGUAACUGACACUGAGGCACGAAAGCGUGGGGAGCAAAUAGG
rnacentral:rRNA from 1 species